GUGUGUUAAGUUUUGUCCUAGGUUAGCUUGUGCAGUCUGCACAGGCUUCAUGUGUGUUAAGUUUUGUCCUAGGUGAGCUUGUGCAGUCUGCACAGGCUUCAUGUGUGUUAAGUUUUGUCCUAGGUUAGCUUGUGCAGUCUGCGCAGGCUUCAUGUGUGUUAAGUUUUGUCCCAGGUUAGCUUGUGCAGUCUGCGCAGGCUUCAUGUGUGUUAAGUUUUGUCCCAGGUUAGCUUGUGCAGUCUGCACAGGCUUCAUGUGUGUUAAGUUUUGUCCCAGGUUAGCUUGUGCAGUCUGCGCA